rnacentral:misc_RNA from 1 species
GAUGAAGAACGUAGCGAAAUGCGAUAAGUAGUGUGAAUUGCAGAAUUCAGUGAAUCAUCGAAUCUUUGAACGCACAUUGCGCCCUUUGGUAUUCCAAAGGGCAUGCCUGUUCGAGCGUCAUUUGUACCCUCAAGCUUUGCUUGGUGUUGGGCGUCUUGUCUCUAGCUUUGCUGGAGACUCGCCUUAAAGUAAUUGGCAGCCGGCCUACUGGUUUCGGAGCGCAGCACAAGUCGCACUCUCUAUCAGCAAAGGUCUAGCAUCCAUUAAGCCUUUUUUUCAACUUUUGACCUCGAAUCAGGUAGGGAUACCCGCUGAACUUAAGCAUAUCAAUAAGCGGAGGA